rnacentral:rRNA from 1 species
GACGAAGGGGGCUAGCGUUGUUCGGAAUUACUGGGCGUAAAGCGAGUGUAGGCGGUUGCCCAAGUCAGGUGUGAAAUCUCGGGGCUCAACCCCGAAACUGCACUUGAUACUGCCUUGCUCGAGUACUGGAGAGGAGAUUGGAAUUUACGGUGUAGCAGUGAAAUGCGUAGAUAUCGUAAGGAAGACCAGUGGCGAAGGCGAAUCUCUGGACAGUUACUGACACUGAGGCACGAAGGCCAGGGGAGCAAACGGG